ACAACUGCAGCGAGAGAAGAGGCUGGCAGCAUGGGUGGCAGGAGGCUUGGCAGCCUCACAGGAUGCCUGCAAAUACCUUUCACUUAUGCAGUUUGGCAGUGCAGUGGUGCAUGGAGACAGCGUCUUGGGCCUGAGAUGAACCAUCCAAUCUCCUGCCUCGAGUAUUGAAGCCUGGCUACUGUGACUGUGGGGAAGGGAUUAAUGGCCUCAGCAUUCAGCCAACAACAAUACCUGCUCACUAUAAGCAUUCAGAAAACAGAAAAGUUUCAAGAAGCAGGAAGAAAAGACUCACCUAUGAUCCCAACACCCAGAGAUAAGAGUCCUGAAGCUCAGAUGACACAGCUGAUAACAGGGAAGCCAGGACAGAAUCUCAUUGUUUUGAACACCAAAACCCGUUCCCUUGACAACUUGGCUAUACUACACUAUUCGAAUGUUGCAGAUACUGUGGUCACAUUUCAAAGGCCAGAUCUUUCCCAGGGCUUAAGCUGUUCCUUGGAUACUUUUGCUGAUGGUUUACACAUCUUCUUCCCACAUUAUAUUGUAACUUUCUU
rnacentral:antisense_RNA from 1 species